rnacentral:pre_miRNA from 1 species
AAAGUACUCCCUCCGUCCCAAAAUUCUUGUCUUAGAUUUGUCUAGAUACGGAUGUAUCAAGUCACAUUUUAGUAUUAGAUACAUCUGUAUCAAGACAAAUCUAAGACAAGCAAUUUGGGACAGAGGGAGUAGUUG